rnacentral:rRNA from 2 species
CCUACGGGCGGCUGCAGUGGGGAAUAUUGGACAAUGGGCGCAAGCCUGAUCCAGCAAUGCCGCGUGAGUGAUGAAGGCCUUAGGGUCGUAAAGCUCUUUUACCAGGGAUGAUAAUGACAGUACCUGGAGAAUAAGCUCCGGCUAACUCCGUGCCAGCAGCCGCGGUAAUACGGAGGGAGCUAGCGUUGUUCGGAAUUACUGGGCGUAAAGCGCACGUAGGCGGCUACACAAGUCAGAGGUGAAAGCCCGGGGCUCAACCCCGGAACUGCCUUUGAAACUAGGUGGCUAGAAUCUUGGAGAGGUCAGUGGAAUUCCGAGUGUAGAGGUGAAAUUCGUAGAUAUUCGGAAGAACACCAGUGGCGAAGGCGACUGACUGGACAAGUAUUGACGCUGAGGUGCGAAAGCGUGGGGAGCAAACAGGAUUAGAUACCCCAGUAGUC